rnacentral:rRNA from 1 species
AACGUAGGUUCCCGAGCGUUAUCCGGAUUUACUGGGCGUAAAGCGUGUUCAGGCGGCUCAGCAAGUCGGGCAUGAAAUCUCUCGGCUCAACCGGGAGAGGCUGUCCGAAACUGCUGGGCUUGAGGGCAGUAGAGGGUGGUGGAAUUCCGGGUGUAGUGGUGAAAUGCGUAGAGAUCGGGAGGAACACCUGUGGCGAAGGCAGCUCUCUGGACAACCCCUGACGCUCAAGUACGAAAGCGUGGGGAGCAAACAGGAUUAGAUACCCCUGUAGU